rnacentral:rRNA from 1 species
AAUCUUGCGCAAUGGGCGAAAGCCUGACGCAGCCAUGCCGCGUGAAUGAUGAAGGUCUUAGGUUUGUAAAAUUCUUUCACCGGGGACGAUAAUGACGGUACCCGGAGAAGAAGCCCCGGCUAACUGCGUGACAGCAGCCGCGGUAAUACGAAGGGGGCUAGGGUUGCCCGGAAUUACUGGGCGUAAAGGGCGCGGGGGGGGACAUUUAAGUCAGGGGUGAAAUCCGAGAGCUCAACUCUGGAACUGCCUUUGAUACUGGGUGUCUUGAGUGUGAGAGAGGUAUGUGGAACUCCGAGUGUAGGGGUGAAAUUCGUAGAUAUUCGGAAGAACACCAGUGGCGAAGGCGACAUACUGGCUCAUUACUGACGCUGAGGCGCGAAAGCGUGGGGAGCAAACA